UGGGGAAUAUUGGACAAUGGGCGGAAGCCUGAUCCAGCAAUGCCGCGUGUGUGAAGAAGGCCUGAGGGUUGUAAAGCACUUUCAGUGGGGAGAAAGAGGCUAUCGCUAAUAUCGAUAGUGGAUGAUGUUACCCACAGAAGAAGCACCGGCUAACUCUGUGCCAGCAGCCGCGGUAAUACAGAGGGUGCGAGCGUUAAUCGGAAUUACUGGGCGUAAAGGGUGCGUAGGUGGUUUUGUAAGUUAGAUGUGAAAUUCCUGGGCUUAACCUGGGGACUGCGUCUGAUACUGCGAAGCUAGAGUACUGUAGAGGGAAGUGGAAUUUCCGGUGUAGCAGUGAAAUGCGUAGAUAUCGGAAGGAACAUCAGUGGCGAAGGCGACUUCCUGGACAGAUACUGACACUGAGGCACGAAAGCGUGGGGAGCAAACAGG
rnacentral:rRNA from 1 species